rnacentral:rRNA from 1 species
UACGUAGGCAGCGAGCGUUGUUCGGAGUUACUGGGCGUAAAGGGUGUGUAGGCGGUUUUCUAAGUUUGGUGUGAAAUCUCCCGGCUUAACCGGGAGGGUGCGCCGAAAACUGGGAGACUAGAGUGCGGGAUGGGAGAGUAGAAUUCAUGGUGUAGCGGUGAAAUGCGUAGAUAUCAGGAGGAAUACCGGUGGUGCAGACGGCUCUCUGGACCGCAACUGACGCUGAGACACGAAAGCGUGGGUAGCAAACAGG